AACUCAAGACGGACAUUACGCUGCUCUUCUUCAUGGUGAUUCUUGUCUCUAUGAAACAAUCAGAGGCUCUGGACAACGUAAACAAGGGACGAAUGAUGAACCAGAGGAGAGCGAUUACCAAAAUGUGACGAUGGAAACAGCUGCAGGUACUUCAAGUACAACAGACCAUGUAGUACAAUAUGAAUAAAACAUCUGCACGGACAGAACCAGGGGAACGGAUGACGACAUGAAAAACCACAUCUUUGUCUUUUUGAGUAAUUAUUGUGUGAACUUCUUCUUUCCUGAUAUGAGACAGUGUUUUGUAGUUAACCCAUGAAAAGAUAAUUUAAAGGAAAUACAUCAUAAGUCUCUAAAGGUUUUACUUGGUGAAAAUAGUCUUGAUUAUUACAUAUAUUGUUAUUCUAAUGUUAGUAUUUAGUGUUUACUGUACAUUUAAUUUUUUCUCCUCAGUUACUUUGUUUUUUUAAAGCUUUUGUAGAAAACUUUGAAUGGAGGCUGGUUUGAAAAGCAGAAAAAAGAAGUCUUUGAGCUUCAAUGUGUUGGUGAUAUUAUUUAAUAUGAAAUAAUCUUCUUUUGAUUCUGAUAAAAAAAAUCUUUACGCAUUUUAUACACUUUUAAUCUGUUAUUGAACAACAUAUUUCGCCAACAAUCAUGUUUAUUUUUGUCAUGUUUAAAGGUUUACCAGGUGCUGUUUG